rnacentral:rRNA from 1 species
AUGAAGUUUGAACAUUUUGAGGAGGCUAUUGCUCACUACAAGCUAUAUGCACUCAGAAAUGGAUUUGGGACAAGGAUGGAUUACACAAGAACACUGAAGGACAACACAGUGAGCAGAGCACUCCUGGUGUGUGGGAAAGGCGGCAAGCCAAAGAAGAAGAAGGAGGAGGUGCAGGAUGUACUGAACCUAGAAGGCAUCGUGAAGAAGACCAAAAGGCGUAAGGUUAAGAGGUUUGAGUGUCCAGCCCACCUUUACCUUACGCACAAGGAUGCGUGGUGGAGAGUUGAAUGCUUUGAUGACAACCACAACCAUCCACUGAUAAGAAAGCCAUCUCUGACAAAAUUUCUAGCCUCAGACCUUGCGAAUCAGCGAGCCAAGUUUCGCAAGGAGUACCGUAAUGCAGACGUGGGGAGCACAAUUGCAUACUUUGAGGAGCUCAGGGCAAAGGAUCCAAGUUUCUAUUGGAGAAUGAAACUUGAUGAUGAAGACAGGGUGGAAAACGUGUUCUGGAUAGAUGGUGCAUCACGUAGGGCAUACGCAAAAUACAACGACAUUGUGUCUUUCGACACAACGUACAUGACUAAUAUGUACAAGAUGCCAUGUGCCCCCUUCAUUGGCAUUAACAACCACGGCCAAUCAAUCCAAUUCGGUUGUGGUUUCGUUCGAAACGAACUGACUGACAACUUUGUGUGGCUGUUUAACACAUUCUUGCAUGCGAUGGGUGGGGUUGCACCAAAGAACAUAAUCACAGAUCAGGACUUUGCCAUGAGGAAUGCUAUUGACGAGGUGUUCAUCGGGAUAGUACACAGAAAUUGCAGAUGGCACAUUAUGAAGAAAGCACAGGAGAAGCUUGGGAGGUUAAUGGCCGAUGCUGAACCACUGAACAAAGCAUUCAAAGAUUGUGUUGACAACAACUUGAAUGUUGAGGAGUUUGAGGAAAAAUGGUGGAAGAUCCUGGACGAUCAUGGGCAAACGGACAACGAGCAUUUCCACUGGCUGUGGGAAAACAGGGAAUGCUGGGUCCCGGUGUACUACAUGCACGACUUCUUCCCAUUCUUUCAGACAACGGCAAGGAGCGAGGGAUUCAACGCUGUGUUGAAGAAG